rnacentral:rRNA from 1 species
UCGGCGGACUGCUCAGUAACACGUGGAUAACCUGCCCUAAGGUGGAGCAUAACCCCGGGAAACUGGGGAUAAUACUCCAUAGAUUAGAGACACUGGAAUGUUCUUUAGUCGAAAGUUCUGGCGCCUUAGGAUGGAUCUGCGGUCGAUUAGGUUGUUGUUGGGGUAACGGCCCAACAAGCCUGUAAUCGAUACGGGUUGUGGGAGCAAGAGCCCGGAGAUGGAAUCUGAGACACGAUUCCAGGCCCUACGGGGCGCAGCAGGCGCGAAAACUUUACAAUGCAGGAAACUGUGAUAAGGGAACUCCGAGUGCCCGUAUACGCGGGCUGUCCAGGUGUUUAAAAAUCAUCUGAAGAAAGGGCCGGGCAAGACCGGUGCCAGCCGCCGCGGUAAUACCGGCGGCUCGAGUGGUGGCCACUAUUAUUGGGCUUAAAGCGUCCGUAGCUGGACCGAUAAGUCUCUUGGGAAAUCCGCCGGCUCAACCGGCGGGCGUCUAAGGGAUACUGUUAGUCUAGGGACCGGGAGAGGUGAGAGGUACUCCGGGGGUAGGAGUGAAAUCCCGUAAUCCCCGGGGGACCACCGAUGGCGAAGGCAUCUCACCAGAACGGCUCCGACAGUGAGGGACGAAAGCUGGGGGAGCGAACCGGAUUAGAUACCCGGGUAGUCCCAGCCGUAAACUAUGCGCGUUAGGUGUACUGGUGACCACGAGUCACCGGGGUGCCGAAGGGAAACCGUGAAACGUGCCGCCUGGGAAGUACGGUCGCAAGGCUGAAACUUAAAGGAAUUGGCGGGGGAGCACCACAACGGGUGGAGCCUGCGGUUUAAUUGGACUCAACGCCGGAAAUCUCACCGGA